rfam:Dictyocaulus viviparus strain HannoverDv2000 D_viviparus-1.0_Cont263.8, whole genome shotgun sequence.
GCCUCGGUAGUGAUAUGGAUCAGCACGGCAGACCGGAUAUCUGUAAGUGCGGGUUCGAGUCCCGCCUCAGGUU